rnacentral:rRNA from 1 species
ACCCACCAUAGUUGAAAAUAUGGGGGAUGAGGUGUGGAUAGGAGUGAAAGGCUAAUCAAGCCGGGAUAUAGCUGGUUCUCGUCGAAAUGUAUUGAGGUACAGCCUCGCGUGAAUUGCGUCGGAGGUAGAGCACUGAAUGGGCUAGGGGUCUUACCAGAUUACCAAACCCAACCAAACUCCGAAUGCCGAUGACAACUGCGCGGGAGUGAGGCAGCGGGAGAUAAGUUCCGUUGCCGAGAGGGAAAGAGCCCAGACCGCCAGCUAAGGUCCCCAAGUCAAUGCUAAGUGUAGAAGGAUGUGGGAACGCUCAGACAACCAGGAUGUUGGCUUAGAAGCAGUCAUCAUUCAAAGAAAGCGUAAUAGCUCACUGGUCAAGCGGGCCUGCGCCGAAAAUAUAACGGGGCUAAAGCAUUGCACCGAAGCUGCGGACUCUUACGAGUGGUAGACGAGCGUCGUGACGGAGAUACACGGCAGACCGAAAGGACUGCUACCGGCCGUCACGAGAGAUU